UGAGUAUUAGUCACACAGAGUUUCCACAGACAAGGAUUGCUGAUCUACUCCCCAAUGCUUCUCCUGAAGCUAUUGAUUUGAUCACUAGACUUUGCUCAUGGGAUCCAUUGAAACGACCAACUGCUGAUCAGGCGCUAAACCAUUCCUUUUUCAAUGUAAUUUGAC